AAAUGGUUCACUGGUUACUGUUAUGGUCAGUUGUUAUUUUAAAACAUGUAAAGAAGGUAUUACAGAGAAAUACAGAAUAAUUUAUGAUUUUGAGAAUACCCAAGAAUUGCUGGGAAUUCCAAUUUCUUGUUCCGGAAUCCUGAAGAUUAUUGUCUCUCAAGAAUUUGCAGACACGGUACAGUCCCUGGCACGAGCAGACACUCAGCGUAUAUUUAGAAAGAAGGGAUGUUAUUUUGUUGUUUGAUGGUCCCAGCUGUCCUAUGAAGUAGAAGUGAAUGUGCCAUUUUACACGUGAGAAUCCUGGCUCUCCUUUGAGACUGACGGGGGACAACAUCCUUAAGAUUCUUAAAAGCUGCAUUGUUCGCUGAGAUGGCCUGUGCGCCACCCCUCAGGACUCCUGGAAGUACUGAUAGUGCCUUUGCUCGUCUUCACCUGCUCUGUGGCCCAGGAGACUGCUGGUUGAGUUCAGCCACCAGAUGACGCCAGCUGAAGGUCAGUGGGGGUGGUGGUGAAUGAAGUCACAGUGUUCAUUCCUCCAGCUCCCUCCCAGGAGCGAUGGGAUACCUGGGCCUGGUGCUGACCCACUGUAUGAAUGCCAAUCACUCCAUGCAAGUCAGAGUACAGAAGCUGGCCCCAUAGAGGUCCCCUGAUGGCUACCUCUCCAGAAGAGCCCCAAGCAACAGAACACACACCCAAUCCAUGCUGUAACUCUGCACCUGCCAAGGCCCACCCUUCUUUCUCCAACCAAUAAAGCCCCCAGUUUUCUUGGGGACUACAGACAAUUGGAAUGAUCCCACCCACCCAUCUCUGUGCAGUGUGUUGAGAGUGCUGAGAAUCUCUAGUCCUUGACUCUCCUCUUUGGCAUACAUCCCAUUCUCUUUUCCACUGGAUCUUGAGGAGACAGGAGGCAUCAUUAAAGCUUGUGUGUGAAUCUGUUAUUUCAUAAAAGAUCACUUAUUAGGGGAAUAAGAAUGUGCUUUUAGUUCUACUCCUGAAACUAGAAAAUCAGUCUUUAAUCUUAUAGGAAAGGAGACCUGGUCCUCUAUACUGAUAGGGGAAAAUAUGGGAUAUAUGUAGUUCCCAAAUAUGGUAAUCACGGGACCCUCUUAGCGAACAAACUUUGGUUGAAAAAUG
rnacentral:lncRNA from 1 species